AUUGAACGCUGGCGGCAUGCCUUACACAUGCAAGUCGAACGGCAGCGCGGGGCAACCUGGCGGCGAGUGGCGAACGGGUGAGUAAUAUAUCGGAACGUGCCCUGGAGUGGGGAUAACGUAGCGAAAGUUACGCUAAUACCGCAUACGAUCCAAGGAUGAAAGCAGGGGACCUUCGGGCCUUGUGCUCCUGGAGCGGCCGAUAUCUGAUUAGCUAGUUGGUGGGGUAAAAGCCUACCAAGGCGACGAUCAGUAGCUGGUCUGAGAGGACGACCAGCCACACUGGAACUGAGACACGGUCCAGACUCCUACGGGAGGCAGCAGUGGGGAAUUUUGGACAAUGGGGGCAACCCUGAUCCAGCAAUGCCGCGUGUGUGAAGAAGGCCUGG
rnacentral:rRNA from 1 species